rnacentral:rRNA from 1 species
AACGAACGCUGGCGGCAGGCUUAACACAUGCAAGUCGAACGCCCCGCAAGGGGAGUGGCAGACGGGUGAGUAACACGUGGGAACAUGCCCAAAGGUACGGAAUAUUCUCGGGAAACUGGGAGCAAUACCGUAUGUGCCCGAAAGGGGAAAGAUUUAUCGCCUUUGGAUUGGCCCGCGUUGGAUUAGCUAGUUGGUGGGGUAAAAGCCUACCAAGGCGACGAUCCAUAGCUGGUCUGAGAGGACGACCAGCCACACUGGGACUGAGACACGGCCCAGACUCCUACGGGAGGCAGCAGUGGGGAAUCUUGGACAAUGGGCGCAAGCCUGAUCCAGCCAUGCCGCGUGAGUGAUGAAGGCCCUAGGGUUGUAAAACUCUUUCGUGGGGACGAUAAUGACGGUACCCCAAGAAGAAGCUCCGGCUAACUUCGUGCCAGCCGCCGCGGUAAU